AUUGAACGCUGGCGGCAGGCCUAACACAUGCAAGUCGAACGGUAACAGGAAACAGCUUGCUGUUUCGCUGACGAGUGGCGGACGGGUGAGUAAUGUCUGGGAAACUGCCUGAUGGAGGGGGAUAACUACUGGAAACGGUAGCUAAUACCGCAUAACGUCGCAAGACCAAAGAGGGGGACCUUCGGGCCUCUUGCCAUCGGAUGUGCCCAGAUGGGAUUAGCUAGUAGGUGGGGUAACGGCUCACCUAGGCGACGAUCCCUAGCUGGUCUGAGAGGUUGACCAGCCAACCUGGAAAUCAGACACGGUCCAGACUCCUACGGGAGGCAGCAGUGGGGAAUAUUGCACAAGGGGCGCAAGCCUGAUGCAGCCAUGCCGCGUGUAUGAAGAAGGCCUUCGGGUUGUAAAGUACUUUCAGCGGGGAGGAAGGGAGUAAAGUUAAUACCUUUGCUCAUUGACGUUACCCGCAGAAGAAGCACCGGCUAACUCCGUGCCAGCAGCCGCCGUAA
rnacentral:rRNA from 1 species